UAGCUCAGUUGGUAGAGCAUGGCGCUUGCAAUGCCAGGGUUGUGGAUGAGAUUCCCAU
rnacentral:tRNA from 1 species